rnacentral:rRNA from 1 species
UACGGGGGGGGCAAGCGUUGUUCGGAAUUACUGGGCGUAAAGGGCUCGUAGGCGGCCAACUAAGUCGGAUGUGAAAUCCCCAGGCUUAGCCUGGGAACUGCAUCCGAUACUGGAUGGCUUGAAUUCGGGAGAGGGAUGCAGAAUUCCGGGUGUAGCGGUGAAAUGCGUAGAUAUCUGGAGGAAUACCGGUGGCGAAGGCGGCAUCCUGGACCGACAUUGACGCUGAGGAGCGAAAGCUAGGGGAGCAAACGGG